CGAACGGGAGAGUAACGCGUGAGGAACCUGCCUCAAAGAGGGGGACAACAGUUGGAAACGACUGCUAAUACCGCAUAAGCCCACGGCUCGGCAUCGAGCAGAGGGAAAAGGAGCAAUCCGCUUUGAGAUGGCCUCGCGUCCGAUUAGCUAGUUGGUGAGGUAACGGCCCACCAAGGCGACGAUCGGUAGCCGGACUGGGAGGUUGAACGGCCACAUUGGGACUGAGACACGGCCCAG
rnacentral:rRNA from 1 species